CUUGAGCUCUUCCAUUCUCCAAAAGCAGUGACAACAGAUAAAUUGUUGUUUGCCUCGCAGCCAAAAAAUCGAGAGUGAGAAAUAUGGCAGUGGCGCGGAAG